GCGGCCCCUUAGAUGGCGGGUGGCUGAUGUUCGCAAUGCUCGGAAGGCAGUGGAGUGAGUCUGAGAACGUCCAAGAACGGACAACACUGGUCCCUGUGCCCACCCGGAAGCUGGAGCCACUGGAAUGUUUGGCCUGGAGUCAAAAUCCGGCAGUUUCUCGGGGAACUUGGAGGCCUGAGCGUGGGGCGCUGGGUGCCGUGAGCAGCUGGGCCUGGAACGCCUCUUCUCGAAGGAAGCCCAUGGCAGGGACCCACUCGGGUGCAGGACGGCACCACCUGACACAGAGACGCAUCUGAAGUGGGUGGGGCCCUCACGUGUCGCUGGAGAAGGUGGGUGAACCGUUGGGCGCAGGCUGAGCUGGGAUUCUGGACAGUGAGUUGUUCAUCGUGGGGAAAUGAACCCCCAGAGGCAGCUCUUAGAGGCUGGAGCGGGGAUCGGGCGGGCGGGGGAUCCAGGUGGGAGCCUUGUUUGACCACCUGCAUAGGCAUGGCCCAGAAAGACACACAUUCAGGAGGAAGUGGCCCUGGGGACGGCUGGGCUGUGAAAAGCGAGGUUGAAUUCCUGGACGUGACGGAGGCGGGCUGCCCCAUGACCCAGGGAACUCAGAAGCCAGAUGGUCCAUCCAAUGCCAUGUGUCGUCAGGUUGUGGAGGAGCAGGGGCUGAUCUGCUCACCAUCAGAUAAGAUGUCCUUUCCUUGGUGGCCCAGAUGUGUGGUACUGAGAAGUUCUCGUGGGAACAAUGUCCAUUUGGUUUCCUGUGAGUGAAUGGAUUUUUAAAAGGUCCCCUGUACCAAGAUUUUGUUUUAAUAAAUCCAUUGUUAGAGAUUAUUUUCACAGGCUAUGAGAAUGAGAAAUAGAGUCCUUUGAAGUCAACAGUAAAGAGAAGCAUCAAUUGGAGCCCACACCGCACUCUUCUUAUACAAAAAGCCCCCAGUUGUAUAUUACUCUGCAUCUGGCUGUUUUCCUGGAACCAUGUUUCCUACAGGCUGGCCCGGAUUCCUCCCUCCCAGCAACGGAGCAGAUUGCUGGACCCCACGGAGCGUUGGGAAAAUCUUUGGGAGAUUUCCAGUCACAAGCCGAUGCGGGAGAUGAAGCCGCCAGAACCGCUGAUCACUGGCAGGCUGGCCCUGAACUGCGCGCCCCGCCCUCCGCUGGCCGCUUGGCACACACGGCCGGUCCUCCAGCUGGUGAGUCACUGGACACUUAUUCAUCACACAGCAGGCAGCGGAAGGUGCCAGAAGGGUGUGCCGGGCAAGGAGCUGGGCCGGUCCUGCAGCCCUGGGUGCUGGUGAGUCACUGCUGCCAGGCGCUGAGCCGGGUGCCGAGGGAGGCAAGGCCCUGGCCAAGAAAGGCCAAGGCUGGCAUCUGUUUCUGCUCCACCCUCGCUGGGGGGGCCGGCAGGCGGGGGAGCAGGACCUCUCCUCUGUGUGCCCUCCAUCCUGCUGUCCCUGCCAGUGCAUACACAUGCACGUGAGCACAGUGUAACAGCACACACGUGCGCACAUGCACACACAUACACACACACACACACACACACAUGUACACGCACUAGCUAAUUCCAAGCACGUGAUCAGACGCAGAGCGGCUGCAGGUUAGGACACAGGCCUUGGAGGCUCACCUCCCUGCUCCUUCGAGGUGAACGGAGCUGCAAGUCCCCCCCCACUGCUUCCGGGGAGACCUCCUCCCACCUGCCCCGGCCCUCCAGGCAGCCCGGCCCGGCCCCAGCCCUGUGCCAGCACCGGAGGGCGGGGCCCAGUUCAGGUAGGAAGUCAUCAGCCCUGGGCUCCAACCCUGCCUCCACUGCACACACCCGACCCGGGGCCUCAGUUUCCUCUCCUGGCACGGGGCCAUCUGAUGCUGGUAGAAGUUCCCCAUUCUCAGGGAGCACUGCCGGGGCUGGUGGGAGCACCAGGCAUCACGCCAGCGAUUUCAGGGGUUCUGGCCCGAAGGACCCUCUGGGCCUCUCAAGCCUCCCGAUCCUGCCUGUGGAAACCUGGGUCCCCGCAGAUGGUCCGCAGCCCUCUGCUCCGACUCAAAGGUACCGCCUUAGCAG
rnacentral:lncRNA from 1 species